UACAAAAAGCGGAGGAAAAGAAACUAACAAGGAUUCCCCUAGUAACGGCGAGUGAAGCGGGAAGAGCUCAAAUUUGAAAUCUGGUAGCCUUCGGUUGCCCGAGUUGUAAUCUAGAGAAGUGUUUUCCGCGUUGGCCCAUGUACAAGUCCCUUGGAACAGGGCGUCAUAGAGGGUGAGAAUCCCGUCCUUGACAUGGACCCCCAAUGCUUUGUGAUACACUUUCAACGAGUCGAGUUGUUUGGGAAUGCAGCUCAAAAUGGGUGGUGAAUUCCAUCUAAAGCUAAAUAUUGGCGAGAGACCGAUAGCGAACAAGUACCGUGAGGGAAAGAUGAAAAGCACUUUGGAAAGAGAGUUAAACAGUACGUGAAAUUGUUGAAAGGGAAACGAUUGAAGUCAGUCAUGCUCUUUGGAUUAAGCCGUUCUGCGGUGUAUUUCAUUGAGCGGGGUCAACAUCAGUUUUGAUCGCUGGAAAAGGGCAGGAGGAAGGUAGCACUCUCGGGUGAACUUAUAGCCUCUUGUCGUAUACAGUGAUUGGGACUGAGGAACGCAGCAUGCCUUUUGGCCGGGAUUCGUCCACGUACAUGCUUAGGAUGUUGACAUAAUGGCUUUAAACGACCCGUCUUGAACCAACGAA
rnacentral:rRNA from 1 species